GGGGGCCUUUAACCCCUGCAGGAACCGAGCCGGGGAAGGGGAGUGGGGUGCUGGUGUUACCUCUGCAAUGAGUAUGAGUUGGGAACUGAGGGCACCUGGGUGUGGGGUGCGGAGCGCUGUGGUGGGGAGAUCCAGGCCGGGUUUUGCAUGCUCCAGGAGGGAAGCAAGCGGAAGGGUGGGCUCUUUAGGGGGAGAGGUGGUGAGGCGGCUCGGAAACCAAGCUCUGCAAUAACAGAGCAAAAGGACUCUAACUGUGGGUGAGCAGACCUUGGACUAUUGAGGUCUCUGAGAUUCUUACCUAUGAGAUGGGCAGCCGGGAGCCUAGGGCUGAGAUCUGUUUCUGCCUCCUCCUCUGGGAGCUCCUGGGACCCUGGAAGGGGCGAAGAGUCCAUGAUUGGGACCCAAGCUCCAGGCCUGGGGUUUCUCCUACCAGCCCCAUCCCCAACGUACCUCUCCCUGGAAGAGAGAGCAAGCAAGGCAUGUGUACUUGGGCAGAGCGACAGAGGCCUGAGUAUGUCUUGGGAAGGGAAGAAGAGACAGACAGACGACCAGGAAGGGGCUUGGAGACAUGAGGACACAACAGCCUCACAGGAAUGUGGAAAGAGAGCCAGCCAGAAACAGACAAGACAUCCCCACCGGGGACAACCAAACCAGCUGAGCAGGAUGAGGCCAAGAAACUCCCAGGCAUAGCCAGAGCCCCUGGAGCUCGGUGAGAAAGGCAGAGUUAAGCCAGUCCACAGCGAUGGCAGCUGAAGGGGUCUCAGCCUCACCACUGACUACUGACUCACCGAGGAGGGGUGGACAUGGAGCAUUACCUCCCUGGCUACACAGAGUGCAGGCAGGAGAGAGGAGGCACGGCCCCACCCUCAAAGAGCUUCGCAGUCUGGAAUGAGCCCCGUACCUUUAGUAGGUGCUGACUAAAUGUUAAGUCAGGGCAAGAAAGGACAAAUGAAUGAGUAAGCAAAACAAAGCAGCAAGGAUCAAAUGAAUGGCAUGGUAGGCAGUGCAGUAGGAGUUGAAGAGGGGAAAGACCAGCCAAAGAAGUUGGACGUGGUCCCAGAUCAUCUCCCCUUCUUGAUGACAUCUCUGCAUGUUCAGGCAAUAAUAAUAAUAUGGCUAGGGGCCGGCCUGGUGGCGCAGCAGUUAAGUGCACGCGCUCCGCUUUGGCGGCCCAGGCUUCACAGGUUUGGAUCCUGGGUGUGCACCGAUGCACUGCUUGUCAAGCCAUGCUGCGGCGGAGUCCCAUAUAAAGUAGUGGAAGAUGGGCACGGAUGUUAGCCCAGGGCCAGUCUUCCUCAGCAAAAAGAGAAGGAUUGGCAUGGAUGUUAGCUCAGGGCUGAUCUUCCUUAUACACACAAAAAAUAAUAAUAUGGCUAAUAUACAAAUAGCAUUUAGCAUGUGCCUGCCACUGAUCUACACACUUUAUAUAUAAUAAUGCUUUUAAUCCUGACAAAAACCGUAAUAGGGAACUGAGGCACAGAGAGGGUAAGGAAUUUGUGGGAGAUCACACAGUGGUGGCAGAGUCAGGAUUUGAACCCAGGCAGUCUGGCCCCAGAGCCUUGACCACAAGACAGUUUAAAAACCAAGUACUAACUUCAGAUUUGUGCAUUUUAGUGUAUGUAAAUCUUGCCUUUCUCAGUCCUCUCAAAAAAGAAAUGGGGAGGGGCCAGCCGGUGGCAUAGCGGUUAAGUGCGCACACUCCGCUUCGGCGGCCCAGGGUUCUCAGGUUCGGAUCCAGGGUGUGCACAGAUGCACUGCUUGUCAAGCCGUGCUGUGGCGGCGUCCCAUAUAAAGUAGAGGAAGAUGGGCAUGGAUGUUGGCCGAGGGCCAGUCUUCCUCAGCAAAAAGAGGAGGAUUGGCAUCGGAUGUUAGCUCAGGGCUAAUCUUCCUCACAAAAAAAAAAAAGGGGGAGGGGGGAGCAAAUGCUGAUAGUCAAUGAUAAGCAUGGUAAAGGGUUUAGAGGUAAAAUGUACUGAGGUUUGCAACUUUGAAAGGUAUCAAAAAAUAAGAUGCAUUGAUAGAUAUGUGAUAAAGCAAAUAUAGAAAAAUGUUACUUGUAGAAUCUAGGUGGUGGGGAUAUGUUCACUGUAUAGUUCUUUCAAUUUUUUUCUGUUUGAAUAUUUUAAUAAUAAAAUUAAAAAAAAAAAAACCUGAAUAUUGUCCUACUGUCCUGCAUGGGGAACAUUGUAGAUGGGGGGAGGGGGCAGAAGUAGCAGAAAGUUUCUGAAUUUGGAGAAGGAAAUGCAAAUGAUAUGGACCCAGGCACCAGAUCUCCUCACGCUUUGCCUCCACAUGAGCUCCCCGGUCAUCACCCUCCUCAAAGACUGGGUGUGUAAUCCUCUAGCACCCAUCUCCCUUCUCAUCACAGUACCACUAAGAGGCCUUCAUCCAGGUCUCUAUCCAGAGGGCCUCGGACCACUGCCCUUAUUUACUUUUGUGCCCAACAUCAGAAUGCUGCCUCCUGCAGGAAGUCCACCUGGAUUGCCCAUACCUCCUUUCCCAACACCAACUUGUCAUCAACUUUAUCUCCUAGAUCUAUCAGCAGUGCUCAUGUAGAUCUAGUCUGGCUGCCUCUGACUCUCCUGUUUGUUAAUCAGUUGGCCAAGCACACUGCUAGGUACAGCCCCAGAACACCAGGUGAGUCACCCCGAAUCCACCAGAGCUCACAGUCUGAUAUGGGAGCCGGGUGUGUGUCCACACACAUACACUGAGAUCGUGAGCGCUCACUGGAUGCAGUGUGAGGGAUAAUUGGGAAAAAGUUAAUCAGGGAAGGCACUCAGAGGAGGUGUACAUUCACUGACUACUUGCAGGAUCAAUAGGAUGGCUGGAGCUGAGGGGGAUUACCGGUUUAGUUACAGUCACAGAAAUCUGAAAGGAAAGAUGUCAUAACCCUAACCCCCAAAGCCUAACUUCCUCUCCUAACAUUACUGCGGAGGUGCUGAGGCCAGAGGAGAAGUUAAAGCCAGAGGAGGGGUGGGAAUGUCUGAGGUGGCAACACUGCUCUCUACCCAGGCAGCUCUGGCCAGUCUGGAGUCUGUCCAUCCACAGGCCACAGGCUCUGGGUAAGCUGAGAGAGAGCAGGGACCCUAGUGGGGGAAAUCCAGUGGGGGUAGGGGGACAGUCACAUCCCUGAGUGAGGUGAGGCUAAGAUGAGGGAAGGGAGAGUAUGGCUUUGAGGUUCCCUGGGACCUGGAGGAAUCCUCUGUCCAGCCUCUAUCUCUGCGCCUCAAAGAAAUUAAAAACAAUCCACUUCUGCCCCCACUGCCCCUCCUGGCCACCUCAGGCCCUCCUCUCCACUUGUGCUUCUGCUUCCCACUCCCUCACACACACCCCAGCAUUCCUCUUGAACCCAGGAAGGUCUCAGUUUCCAGACCCUGGUCUGCAUCUGGCUCUGGCGGGAAGUCGGUGGCCCCCUCUUUGCCCUCAAACAGGAACCAGUGGUUGUAGGGCAGGAAGUGCCUGAGGGGAAGUUAUGCAGCCCCAGACACUCCUCCCUGCCCCACUUCAGCCCCAACAGUAUCUGCCCCUGGGAAGCAGCUCUCCGCACGCAUGAGCCAAGUAGGGCUCUGCUCUCCCAAGCUGCUCUGGAGCUGAGGGAGCGGCCCCAGCUGCCAGGUGGUGCUGGACACUGCCUUCCCUACUUUUCCACCAGUCCCCACGUGCACUCCAGACCCUGGCUCCUCCUCCUCCAUCAGCCCCCUCACCAGAACCUAGAACUAUCCAGUGCUGAAGAGGCCCCUCUGAACCACCUGGUCAGCUU